CCAGGUUGGAGAACUCGGAUCAAUUCCCUGUUGAUGCCAUUCCCUUCCCAGGGAUCACCUCCACAUUCCCAGGAGAUCUCCCAUGUUAGAAAGGUGGGAUNNNNNNNNNNCCAUUCCCUUCCCAGGAAUCACCUCCACAUUCCCAGGAGAUCUCCCAGGCUGGAGAACUUGGAUCAAUUCCCCAUUGGAUCCCGCUUGGAUCCAUUCCCUUCCCAGGGAUCACCUCCCCAUUCCCAGGAGAUCUCCCACCUUGGAAGACUCGGAUCGAUUCCCAGCUGGAUCCAUUCCCUUCCCAGGGAUCACCUCCACAUUCCCAGGAGAUCUCCCAUGUUAGAAAAGUGGGAUCCAUUCCCAUCUUGGAUCCAUUCCCUUCCCGGGAAUCACCUCCACAUUCCCAGGAGAUCUCCCACACUGGAGGACUCGGAUUGAUUCCCCGUUGGAUCCGUUCUCUUCCAGGGAUCACCUCCACAUUCCCAGAAGAUCUCCCACCUUGGAAGACUCGGAUGGAUUCCCUGUUGGAUCCAUUCCCUUCCUGGGAUUCACCUCCACAUUCCCAGGACAUCUCCCAUGUUAGAAAAGUGGGAUCCAUUCCCAUCUUGGAUCCAUUCCCUUCCCAGGGAUCACUCCCAGUUUUCCAGGACAUCUCCCACCUUGGAAGACUCGGAUGUAUUCCCAGCUGGAUCCAUUCCCUUCCCAGGGAUCAC
rnacentral:lncRNA from 1 species